rnacentral:rRNA from 1 species
CACGUAGUUAGCCGUGGCUUUCUGAUUAGGUACCGUCAAGAUGUGCACAGUUACUUACACAUUUGUUCUUCCCUAAUAACAGAGUUUUACGAGCCGAAACCCUUCAUCACUCACGCGGCGUUGCUCCGUCAGGCUUUCGCCCAUUGCGGAAGAUUCCCUACUGCUGCCUCCCGUAGGAGUCUGGGACCGUGUCUCAGUUCCAGUGUGGCCGAUCACCCUCUCAGGUCGGCUACGUAUCGUCGCCUUGGUAAGCCGUUACCUUACCAACUAGCUAAUACGGCGCGGGUCCAUCUAUAAGUGAUAGCAAAACCAUCUUUCACUUUAGAACCAUGCGGUUCUAAAUGUUAUCCGGUAUUAGCUCCGGUUUCCCGAAGUUAUCCCAGUCUUAUAGGUAGGUUACCCACGUGUUACUCACCCGUCCGCCGCUAACUUCAAAGGAGCAAGCUCCUUAUCUGUUCGCUCGACUUGCAUGUAUUAGGCACGCCGCCAGCGUUCAUCCUGAGCCAGGAUCAAACUCU